GAAAUCGCAGAGCUAAAGCCGAAAAGAGUUUCAAGCCCUUAAAUAAACUAAAAAAAAAAAAAAGAAACCUUCUCCUAUUUCACCCCAUUUCCAUUCCCUUUUGGGCUUUAGCAGCCAAAAAUGCCUAUGGGGAACUUUGCUGUUUCUCUUUUUGUUCGACUUUGCAUGUCUUUCAGGUAUUGAAAGAAAAAUUGAGUUUGCAACUUGAAAUUUAAGCUAUUUACGACUCUACAUUUUCUGGCUUGCAUCAUAGCUUUAGUAAACCUGAGUCUUAGUGCUGCCUUCGAAUGGCGACUGCUAUAACACCAUAUUUUACACCUUCAGAUACUAGACCAAUGGGGGUGCUUAAUGUUCUUGGAGGGAGACUGUUAAUGGAGAAUCCUUUAGGGAGACUUAGCUGCCUUAAAAUUUCUGACGGGAAAAGUGGAUUUUCAAGUGCCGGCCAAAGGUCUACCAUGCCUCAUUUUAGAUGUUCUGCCAACUUUCAAAGUGUCAGUCCGCAUCAAAAUAAAAACCCUUUUCUGAAUCUGCACCCUGAAGCUUCGAUGCUUAGAGGUGAAGGGAACAGUACAAUAACCAACCCAAGAAAGGAUAGUUCUACUGGAAGUGUCACUGAGAACUUAAGAGACAUGUCUGGUUCAAGUAGUUAUAAUGAAGCUAAGAUCAAAGUUAUUGGUGUUGGAGGCGGUGGGUCAAAUGCUGUUAAUCGCAUGAUAGAAAGCGCAAUGAAGGGUGUAGAGUUCUGGAUUGUUAACACUGAUGUUCAAGCCAUGAAAAUGUCACCUGUCUUUCCUGAUCAUCGUUUGCAAAUUGGACAGGAGCUAACUAGGGGUCUUGGUGCUGGUGGGAACCCAGAGAUUGGCAUGAAUGCUGCCAAAGAAAGCAAGGAGUUGAUAGAAGAGGCUCUUUAUGGUGCUGAUAUGGUUUUUGUUACUGCUGGAAUGGGUGGAGGAACUGGAACUGGUGGAGCUCCUGUAAUUGCAGGAGUUGCAAAGUCCAUGGGUAUAUUAACUGUUGGUAUUGUCACUACCCCUUUUUCUUUUGAGGGAAGAAGGAGGACUGUUCAAGCACAGGAAGGAAUUGCAGCUCUAAGAGAAAAUGUUGAUACACUAAUUGUUAUUCCAAACGACAAGUUGUUGACUGCAGUUUCCCAGUCUACUCCAGUAACAGAAGCAUUUAAUCUGGCUGAUGAUAUUCUUCGACAAGGUGUUCGUGGUAUCUCUGAUAUAAUUACGAUUCCAGGGCUAGUCAAUGUUGAUUUUGCUGAUGUGCGAACUAUAAUGGCCAAUGCAGGUUCUUCACUAAUGGGGAUAGGAACUGCAACUGGGAAAACAAGGGCAAGAGAUGCUGCACUAAAUGCUAUCCAAUCUCCUUUGUUAGAUCUUGGUAUAGAAAGGGCUACUGGAAUUGUGUGGAACAUAACUGGUGGAAGUGAUUUAACCUUGUUUGAGGUGAAUGCUGCGGCUGAGGUUAUAUAUGAUCUUGUGGAUCCAACUGCCAAUUUAAUAUUUGGAGCAGUGAUAGAUCCAUCACUUGGUGGCCAAGUAAGUAUAACUCUAAUUGCCACGGGAUUUAAACGUCAAGAAGAAAGUGAAGGGAGGCCCCGUCAGGCAGGUCAGUUGGCACAGGGAGAUAUUGGACUUGGAAUCAAUCGGAGGCCUUCUUUCAGUGAUGGUGGUUCAGUGGACAUCCCCGAGUUCCUGAAGAAGAAAGGACGUUCACGCUAUCCAAGAGCUUGAAUGGUUUUCUGAUUAGUGUCUCAACCAAUGUAGUUAUGCUUCACUCUGAGGUGGGGUAACAACAAUGCCAUGCAGAAGAAGAAUGCUGUCCAAGAAUACAUGAAAAAUUACUGUUUUUUUGGAUAAUACAAGACAUUGUUAAAAAUUUAAUUGUAAUUAGAACUGAUUUUUAAAGAAGAUUUAUUCAUUGUAAAAUUACUUGUUUCAUGUUAGAAGACUAAGGUCUAAGAUUAAAAGGCAUACCCACAUGGAGCAUGUGCCCUACCAUAUAAGAACUCUGUAAAAAGUAGGAGAUUAUUCAAAAUUAAAGCAAAUAUGCAAUAUCACCAUGUAGUUCUGUUAAUGCAUGCAUGAAACUAUGAAAAGAAGAGAAACGAAAAAAAUGGGAAAAAAAAAAUGUUUACAAGUAAGUUUUUCAACAUGGCUCGAGAAAUUUUGAAAAGAGAAAGAAAAGUGAGGACAUAAACAAAAGAAGAGGGGACAGAGUCGUUGAGGUGUACAUCAAGAAAAAA